GUGCCAGCCGCCGCGGUAAUACGGAGGAUGCAAGCGUUAUCCGGAAUUAUUGGGCGUAAAGCGUCCGCAGGUGGUUAAUCAAGUCUGCUGUUAAAGGGCCAGGCUUAACCUUGUAAAGGCAGUGGAAACUGGUUGACUAGAGUACGGUAGGGGCAGAGGGAAUUCCCAGUGUAGCGGUGAAGUGCGUAGACAUUGGGAAGAACACCAGUGGCGAAGGCGCGCUGCUGGGCCGAGACUGACACUGAGGGGCGAAAGCGAGGGGAGCGAAAGGGAUUAGAUACCCCUGUAGUCCUAGCUGUAAACGAUGGACACUAGGCGUUGGACGUAUCGACCCGUUCAGUGCCGUAGCUAACGCGUUAAGUGUCCCGCCUGGGGAGUACGCACGCAAGUGUGAAACUUAAAUGAAUUGACGGGG
rnacentral:rRNA from 1 species